AUAUUUUUUUUCAUUGUAUUGUAUAUUUGGAUGCCAGGAAAGGGCUAUGGCUUCGGCAAACCUCUCCUCUUAUUAACAAGUCAGAGAGAGACCUCGUCGGAUCUGGGAAUCUAGCGAGAUAUAAAUCGAACGCCGGCGUCGUCCCUCAUCGGAGAGACCACACAAAGAAGAGACGAGAGGGAGAGGAGAAGAAGAAGGAAUGGCGGCGGGCGACGUUCCUCCUCUGGACGAGAAGGCGAAGCGGACGAGGGAGCUGCUGGCGAGCUUCUAUUCCCCGGAUCCCUCCUCCGCCGCCUCGUCCUCCCCCCACGCCAAACCCGCCUCUCUCGACUCCAUCAACUCACCCGCCUUCGAUCCCGACGUCUACAUGGGCCUUCUGAUUCAAAAGUCAAAUUUGGAGGGGCUUCUUCAGAAGCAUGUUGAGAUGGCAGCUGAGAUCAAGAAUCUUGAUACUGAUUUACAGAUGUUAGUUUAUGAAAAUUAUAAUAAGUUCAUCAGUGCUACGGACACUAUAAAAAGGAUGAAAAAUAACAUUGUUGGAAUGGAGGCAAAUAUGGAUCAACUCCUUGCUAAGAUUACAUCUGUUCAAUCCAGGAGUGACGUAGUGAAUACAUCUUUAUUUGAGAAGAGAGAACAUAUAGAGAAGUUGCAUCGCACUCGAAAUCUUCUUCGUAAAGUUCAAUUUAUUUAUGAUCUUCCGACUCGACUCGGAAAAUGUAUAAAAACGGAAGCAUAUACGGAUGCAGUGAGGUUUUUCACUGGAGCCAAGCCAAUUUUUGAGGCAUAUGGGGAUUCAUCCUUCCAAGAUUGUAAGAAAGCAUCUGAAGAGGCAAUGGACUUAGUCAUUCAGAACCUUCAGGCAAAGAUUUAUUCGGAUUCUGAACCUAUUGAAGCAAGAGCUGAAGCUGUUGUACUUCUAAAGCAGCUAAACUUCCCUGUGGAUAGCUUAAAGGCAAAUCUACUGGAAAAGUUGGAGGACUAUAUGUCAAAAUUUCAAAAUGAAUCUAACGAGGUGGAGGCUUCAGAACCAGACAGUAGCGGACCAUCUAAGGCUUCCGUUGGCAAAAUUUCUAGGACUGUCCGUGCGUAUCUUAUAAUAUUUCCCGACUCAGAAAAGCGACUUAUUGAACUUGCCCAGGACUUGUUUACCAGGUGCUAUGAAAAUGUUCAACAGAGCAUAAUGAAAAGAAUGCCAUCAGCAGAACUAUUGGCAAUGCUGCGAAAUAUGUCAGAAGAUGUGACUCUGAUGGAUAAUGUAUUGCCUGAGGCUGCUCUCCCUGCUUUUUCUUUGGAGGCUGUCAGGUCCCUUGUCAGACAGUAUAUCUCAACUGCCUUCUCUUAUCUUCUGCUUGAAGUUUCAGAAGCACUCACAAAGUUCCAACCUAAGCCAAAGGAAGGUUUAGAAGAGUCUUCAUUGCAAAUUGCCUUUGAAGGUGGCAAAAAAGCAGUAAUUCAGGGCAGUAUGGAUCUGUUGCUGGAAUUCCGUCAGCUUCUUGAUGGUAAUCUAGAGUUAUUAGCAAAGCUGAGGGACUUAAUUAUUGAUUGGGUGCAAGAAGGUUUUCAAGACUUCUUUCAGAAACUUUAUGGACAUUUCCUUUUGCUUUCUGGAAGAAGUAACAUUACAAAUCAGGAUUCAAGCAUUACAGAUUCAAUACCAGUGGACAAAAUUCAGACAGGACUGGUUCUUGUGCUGGCCCAACUUUCUGUUUUUAUAGAACAAAGUGCAAUUCCUAGAAUUACAGAGGAAAUAGCUGCUUCUUUUUCUGGAGGUGGUGUCCGUGGUUAUGAACAUGGACCGGCAUUUGUACCUGGAGAGAUCUGCCGACUAUUUCGUUCAGCUGGCGAAAAGUUUUUGCAUCUUUAUAUAAAUAUGAAAACUCAGAAGAUAUCUGUCCUUCUCAAAAAGAGGUUCACAACACCAAAUUGGAUCAAGCACAAGGAGCCACGAGAAGUUCACAUGUUUGUUGAUUUGCUUCUUCAAGAGCUGGAAGCUGUUGCAGUUGAAGUUGGACAGAUUUUACCUCGUGGGAUUAUUCGAAGGCAUCGCCGUUCUGACAGCACAGGAAGUACUAAUUCCUCUCGAAGUAAUCCAAUGCGUGAAGAUAAAUUAAACCGGUCAAAUACACAACGUGCUAGGAGCCAAUUUUUGGAAAAUCAUCUUGCAAAAUUAUUUGAGCAGAAAAUGGAGAUUUUUACAAAAGUUGAAUACACACAGGAGUCGGUUCUAUCAACUAUAGUAAAACUAUGCCUGAAAAGCUUGCAAGAGUUUGUACGGCUCCAAACAUUCAAUCGAAGUGGAUUCCAGCAGAUUCAGUUAGAUAUUGAAUUCCUGAAGAAUCCCAUGAAAGAGUUUGUUGAUGAUGAGGCAGCCAUAGAUUUCCUACUAAAAGAGGUGAUCAAUGCUUCUCACGAGAGGUGCCUUGACCCAAUUCCCCUGGAGCCCCCGAUACUGGACAAGCUCAUAAAUGCCAAGUUAGCCAAGAACAGGGAGCAGAGCUCAAAUUCUCAUUCACAAUGAACAUGGAAAAAUAGGUAGGGCUAUAAUGUGUUUCACCCAUGGUUCGCUGAACUAGUACCGGAGGGCAUACCAGUCAGCAGCCGGUUUGGCACGAGUGCCAGAACCUGAUCGAGGUCAAGGGGCUUUUGGUUUAUUUGUAAAGCAUCCCCCGUUAAUGUUGGAUGUGGGUUCCAUGUUAAAUGCAGCAUUCACUCUGUUCUAUGUAACCUUAUUGUUUAUAUCAUAUAUGGGUUUUCUCGGAAUCUUCAGAACAAAAAUAUAGCAAGUUUGUUGAAGAAUUUUCAGGAGGAUGACUUGAACUAGCGUAACUUGCCUGGCAUUCUUUUCUAAGGGGGAGUGCAGGCAUGGAAUCAGCUAUCCACUCUUCUUACUGCAUACAAACAACCAGACUUUUUACUAGUUUAAUGGAGGUUCAUUGUAACAUUUUCUUAUUCGAGGUGAACAAGGUUAGAUUGAUCACUUGUAAUCAUUUUUGUUAUAUAAAUCAUUCUUUCUUGUCUUCCAUC